GCCCAAAUGGCGGAAUUGGUAGACGCGUUAGUUUCAGGGACUAGUAAUCGCAAGGUUGUGCAGGUUCGAGUCCUGUUUUGGGCACAA
rnacentral:tRNA from 1 species